AUUGCCUCAGUAACGGCGAGUGAAGCGGCAACAGCUCAAAUUUGAAAUCUGGCCCUAGGCCCGAGUUGUAAUUUGCAGAGGAUGCUUUUGGCGCGGUGCCUUCCAAGUUCCCUGGGACGGGACGCCGGAGAGGGUGAGAGCCCCGUCUGGUUGGACACCAAGCCUCUGUAAAGCUCCUUCGACGAGUCGAGUAGUUUGGGAAUGCUGCUCAAAAUGGGAGGUAUAUGUCUUCUAAAGCUAAAUACCGGCCAGAGACCGAUAGCGCACAAGUAGAGUGAUCGAAAGAUGAAAAGCACUUUGGAAAGAGAGUUAAAUAGCACGUGAAAUUGUUGAAAGGGAAGCGUUUACGACCAGACUUGUGCCGGUUGAUCAUCCAGCGUUCUCGCUGGUGCACUCUGCCGGCCCAGGCCAGCAUCAGUUCGUCUCGGGGGACAAAGGCGUCGGGAAUGUAGCUCCCUCGGGAGUGUUAUAGCCCUUCGUGUAAUACCCUGCGGUGGACUGAGGUUCGCGCAUCUGCUAGGAUGCUGGCGUAAUGGUCGUCAACGACCCGUCUUGAAACACGGACCAAGGAGUCGUCUUCGUAUGCGAGUGUUCGGGUGUAAAACCCCUACGCGUAAUGAAAGUGAACGCAGGUGAGAGCUUCGGCGCAUCAUCGACCGAUCCUGAUGUUCUCGGAUGGAUUUGAGUAAGAGCAUACGGGGCCGGACCCGAAAGAAGGUGAACUAUGCCUGUAUAGGGUGAAGCCAGAGGAAACUCUGGUGGAGGCUCGCAGCGGUUCUGACGUGCAAAUCGAUCGUCAAAUAUGGGCAUGGGGGCGAAAGACUAAU
rnacentral:rRNA from 1 species